rnacentral:rRNA from 1 species
CCUACGGGUGGCAGCAGUGAGGAAUAUUGGUCAAUGGAGGCAAGUCUGAACCAGCCAUGCCGCGUGCAGGAAGACGGCCCUAUGAGUUGUAAACUGCUUUUGUACGAGGGUAAACGCAGAUACGCGUAUCUGUCUGAAAGUAUCGUACGAAUAAGGAUCGGCUAACGCCGUGCCAGCAGCCGCGGUAAUACGGAGGAUUCAAGCGUUAUCCGGAUUUAUUGGGUUUAAGGGGUGCGUAGGCGGUCGGAUAAGUUAGAGGUGAAAUCCCGGGGCUCAACGUCGGAGUUACCUCUGAUACUAUUCGGCUAGAGAGUAGGAGGGGUAAGCGGAAUGUAUGGUGUAGCGGUGAAAUGCUUAGAGAUCA